GUUGCUUUCCAGCAGAGAUCAUAGUUGAGAAAGUUUCCUCUACACCAGGGAAACUUUUAAACAAAACAAGAGCUUGCCAUUCUUAUUCCAAGACUGUCCCCUACUUUAACAUUCUCCGGAGUAGAAAAAUGGCCACACACUGUGAAAAGGAGAAGAUUCUUUAUCGUCUGGAUUUUGUCAGGGGAAAAGAAUCACCUAAGGAAGAAAAAGAGAAGGUUGGGAGAGGAGGAAGAAGAAGCACACGGUCCUGACUUUUAGACAUGAACUCACACCUCAGCUUCUGGUCUCUAUUGCACAUCUUGACAGCAAGCAGCUUGAAGACAUGGCUGACCUGUGGGAGAAGGGGUAAAGUCCAACACUUUCAUUGGUCCACAUUCUGGGAGGUCAUCUUAUCCUCAGUAGUGAUGUCAUCUGUGCC
ensembl:lncRNA